GUGCGUGGAUUUUUUCUAUUCU
rnacentral:miRNA from 1 species